rnacentral:rRNA from 1 species
CCUACGGGGGCAGCAGUGAGGAAUAUUGGUCAAUGGCCGGAAGCCUGAACCAGCCAUGCCGCGUGAAGGUCAGUGCCCUAUGGGCGUUAAACUUCUUUUGUGCGGGAGCAAUAAUGGUCACGUGUGGCCAGACGAGAGUACCGUACGAAUAAGCCUCGACUCACUCCGGGCCAGCAGCCGCGGUAAUACGGGGGAUGCAAGCGGUAUCCGGAUUUAUUGGGGUUAAAGGGUGCGUAGGCGGUCAGGUAAGUGAGCGGGGAAAUGCCCCCGCUCAAAGGGGGGGAGUGCCAUUGAUACUGCGUAGCUAGAGUGCGGGUGCGGUAGGUGGAAUGUGUGGUGUAGCGGUGAAAUGCAUAGAUAUCACACAGAACACCGAUUGCGAAGGCAUCUCACGAAUCCGCGAUUGACGCUGAUGCACGAAAGCGUGGGUAUCAAACAGGAUUAGAUACCCGAGUAGUC